AGCACACAAGCCCUAAUUCUCCUC
rnacentral:siRNA from 1 species